ACGGGGCGCAGCAGGCGCGAAAACUUUACAAUGCGGGCAACCGUGAUAAGGAAACCCCGAGUGCCACCACAGGGUGGCUGUCCACCAGUUUAAACGACUGGUGAAGAAAGGGCCGGGCAAGACCGGUGCCAGCCGCCGCGGUAAUACCGGCGGCUCGAGUGGUGGCCGCUUUUACUGGGCUUAAAGGGUCCGUAGCUGGAUCUGUGUGUCCCUUGAGAAAUCCAUCGGCUCAACUGAUGGGCGUUCAGGGGAAACUGCAGUUCUAGGGACCGGGAGAGGUGAGAGGUACUGCCGGGGUAGGAGUGAAAUCCUGUAAUCC
rnacentral:rRNA from 1 species